ACGUAGGUGGCGAGCGUUGUCCGGAAUUAUUGGGCGUAAAGAGCGCGUAGGCGGGACAAUAAGUCUGUCUUAAAAGAGCGGGGCUCAACCCCGUUAUGGGAUAGAAACUGAUGUUCUUGAGUACCGGAGAGGAAAGUGGAAUUCCCAGUGUAGCGGUGAAAUGCGUAGAUAUUGGGAGGAACACCAGUGGCGAAGGCGACUUUCUGGACGGUGUCUGACGCUGAGGCGCGAAAGCCAGGGAAGUGAACGG
rnacentral:rRNA from 1 species